AGUGACCUUUUUCAAUGACCAUAAAAUCCCAUUUGCCAACAUAGUCAGUAUGAUGAUGGACUCCUGUAACGUAAUGCAAGGGAGCAAGUCCGGGCUGGAGACCAGAAUAAGAGAAAAGUACUGCCAGAACCUCCUGGAUGUUGAUGGAGAUUCCUGCCACCACAUCCACAAUGACGCCAAACAGUUUGCUGCGCCCUUUGGCCACCACCUCGAGUAGCUCUUCGCUGACCUCCACACAGACCACCAGUGGGCUUCAGACCAGGUGGUACCUGAUGGAGAUCUGUGAGUUCAUGGGCAUUCCAGGCACCAACCCACAGCGGUUUGUCGCGGAUCGGUGGCUUUCAGAAUAUGAUGUGGGCAUCAGCACUCGCCGAAUGUUGCCUGCAUACAAGGUGCUGUACUUCGGAUUCCUCAGUCAGGCAGACUAUACCCUUUACAAAGAAGUCCUUGAGGAGAUCUACAAGGACCAUGGUGUUGGUGAGCGGGCAGAGGCCAGGAUCCAGUAUUUCCACCAGGACCUCAGAAAUAAGGAAUGAUGCAAGUUGGGAAGGACAGAAAAGAAAGGGUGGUGAAGAAGCUCUGGUUCGAGAGUCGCAAUACGGACCUCCAGCUGAGCGUUUACCUUGGUGUCCUUCCCAUCCUGAAGGAGUAUGUGAUGGUG